CAACCAAAUACACAACACCCAACAACCUCUGUGCUUAACACCACAAAGAGCACCUACAGUGACCAGCUACAUGGGGCACCAAGAUGGAAACACAACUCCCCACAGCAUAAAGAUAUUCACAGCUCUCUGAUCUUUGGCACAUUGGACAGCAGAGUACAUUAGGCUGCCACGUGAAAAAGGAGUGGAGAAGGGAAGCCACUUCACCCAUUCAGAACAUUACAUCAGCUGCUGCUACCCUUUACAUUGGAAAUGCAUGAUAUAAGCGAAACUCCACAAAGGUGAAAGGGUUUCACACAGAAGAAACUUAUCUUAUCUCUGCUGCUCUUCCAAACCUUUGCACUUGCUUCCAGUGAACAACCAUCAGAUGGUACUGACUACAGCAGAAUUAAUCUGUGAUGCAGUUGUGAAAGGCUCCAUGCUCUAAUACCAGAAUCAUUCAAUCCCCUCAGCAAAGACAACACAUUGUCAGUGCUCACAGUAAGCAUUUUGGCCUUUCCCAGUCAUUGAAGGUUACAAAUUUCCAUCCCAGCAUUGUGGUUUGAACUGCAAUCUGAACUCAUGCCAGCAUAAUGGGACACCCAGUGAAGUUCACACCAGGCAACACAAAGGAAGAGAAACAAGGUUUUUGCUCCCAGUGUGAGAAGAAGGCUUAGGGUAUGAAAGCCUGGGAUAGAGACACCCAUCAACAAUAUAAAGCCGAGAAGCUAUAUGACUUCUGGGAAAUAUUCCAGGUCAAAACCUUGAAACGAUAAACUGUACAAACAGAAGGACAGGAAUCAAUUUACAGAACUAAUGCAAAGCAUCUGCAAUUGUUAGAAGCUUAGUAAUAUAAAACUGCAGAAAAACACAGUGGCCAUGAAAAAAAAAGCAAUUUCCGAGGAUUAUUCUAUAGAUAACAGCCAGUAGCUGAUUUUUUUUAGACUAACCUUUUUUCAGUUGCAGCUGAAAAUAAUAUGGACUGCAAACCAUGUAUCUAAUGAGUGCCUUCUUGUCUAAAUUAUGCUCUCAGUUAAACCUCUUCCUUUCUAAGAACAGGGGUAUAGUAAGCAAAACUAGCACUCUAUAAAAUAGCUGGUUAUGGAAAAGAUAUUGUAAUUGUAGAAAUUAUAACAAAAACAUGAAGACCAGACAUGAAGCAGA